UACGGGGGGAGCAAGCGUUGUUCGGAUUUACUGGGCGUAAAGGGCGCGUAGGCGGCCAGCACAAGUCAGUUGUGAAAUCUCCGAGCUUAACUCGGAAAGGUCAACUGAUACUGUGCGACUAGAGUGCGGAAGGGGCAACUGGAAUUCUUGGUGUAGCGGUGAAAUGCGUAGAUAUCAAGAGGAACACCUGCGGCGAAGGCGGGUUGCUGGGCCGACACUGACGCUGAGGCGCGAAAGCUAGGGGAGCGAACGGG
rnacentral:rRNA from 1 species